rnacentral:tRNA from 1 species
GCAGUGGUUAAAUGCUUAAAUGCUCGGCUGCUAACCAAAAGGUUGGUGGUUUGAAUCCACCAGCUGCU